CCAGAUCUCAGACCACCGGACCCAAAAGGUUCUUAGGAAGUUGAAGGGCCUGGAGAAGGCCUGGGAACAAAUGGCCGCUGCUGCAUCAUGCUACUACGAGAGGAGAAUGGCUGUUGCAGCCGGCGUCAAAGCAGCUCCAGCGCAGGGGACUCAGAUGGGGAGCGCGAGGACUCGCUGGCUAUGCGCGCUAGGCAGCAGCUGGAGGCGCUACUCAACAAGACCAUGCGCAUUCACAUGACAGAUGGGCGGACACUGGUCGGUUGCUUCCUCUGCACCAACCGUGACUGCAGUGUUAUCCUGGGCUCGGCGCAGGAGUUCCUCAAGCCGUCGAAUUCCUUCUCUGCCGGGGAACCGCGUGUGCUGGGCCUGGCCAUGGUACCUGGACACCACAUCCACAUCGUUUCUAUCGAGGUGCAGAGAGCGAGCCUGGCGGGGCCUCCCUAUCUCUGAACAUGAUCACGCAUGCCUUUCAGACUUCAUUAAAUCUGUAACCGA